rnacentral:rRNA from 1 species
UACGGAGGGUGCGAGCGUUGUCCGGAAUCACUGGGCGUAAAGGGCGCGUAGGCGGCCUGAUAAGUAGGGGGUGAAAUCCUGCGGCUUAACCGCAGGGCUGCCUUCUAAACUGUCGGGCUAGAGCACGGUAGAGGCAGAUGGAAUUCCCGGUGUAGCGGUGGAAUGCGUAGAGAUCGGGAAGAACAUCGGUGGCGAAGGCGCUUUGCUGGACCAUAACUGACACUCAGGGACGAAAGCUAGGGGAGCGAAUGGG